AGUUCUCAACCAUACCUCGGUGUGGCUUGGAUCUGGGGGGUUUUGCAGGCUUCAAGGAAAGUCGGCUCCCCUGAAAAGCAUUAGCGGUGUCCGAGUACCUUUGGUGUGAUAACUAUCUAUGCCUUGGUGUAUACGAUGCAUGCUGCUUCUGAACUUGCGUCUUGCGCAUUUUGUUGACAU
rnacentral:misc_RNA from 1 species